AAUCAAGACAAAUUUGCCAAAUAAAUCAUUGUAGAAACGCUAGUUUGGGCCUGAAAAAUUCCAGGAGCAAGAGUCAAGAUUUGUCACUCCAUGAGAAUCUGGAGGGGACUCCCUUCCCAGAAACUUGACGAUGAAGUACUGGUUGUAAUUUUAGAAAGACACCCAAUCGGCUUUUUUAAAAGAUCGCCCAGGGCCCUUGUCCUGAGAGCUGGGAGCUGGUCGGAGUGACAGAGAAGCCAUGGAAGCAGCAGUGAAAGAGGAAAUAAGUCUUGAAGAUGAAGCUGUAGAUAAAAACAUUUUCAGAGACUGUAACAAGAUCGCAUUUUACAGGAAGAAAAGCGUAUUAUGUUAAUUCUGAACAGGUAUCUAGAGGGAAGUCUACAGUGAAUGCCUGGCGUCAGAAACAGUGGCUUUCCAAGAAGUCCACCUAUCAGGCAUUAUUGGAUUCAGUCACAACAGAUGAAGACAGCACCAGGUUCCAAAUCAUCAAUGAAGCAAGUAAGGUUCCUCUCCUGGCUGAAAUUUAUGGUAUAGA
rnacentral:lncRNA from 1 species